UGUAGAUGUCUUGAAUUUACUUACAAGGUCAUCUAUGAACAUUUAUGAGUCAUCUGUGAGCGAUCUGUGUAGACAUCUAUGUAGUCAUCUGUGAGUGAUCUAUGAAGAUGUCUUGAAUUUACUUACAAGGUCAUCUAUGAACAUCUGUGAGUUAUCUAUGUAGAUGGUGACUGAAUCGUUCAGGUUGGUGGUAAUUAUUUGAGGUUGUGAGGUGAUUAUGUUAAGUUGGGGGUUUCCCUUGAAUCUUGCGAUAUUAGUUGCGACCUGAUGGGGGGAUUUCCCUUAAAUCUUGCGAUAUUAGUUGCGACUUAGUAUUUCACUGUUGGGGAAUUCCCUAAAUCUUGCGGUUUGAUUGCGGGACUUGUGUGACCAGCUUGUAAACUUUUGCGGUGUGAAUAACAAUUCGUGCUUCUCCUGCUAAGAUUGGAAAUUCCCUAUUGCCUCUGGUAUAAUAAGUAUGAAGAGGGAAAUCCUCCGUUCCUCUUAUGGAAGACAACCUGGUUUCACCUGUAGGAAUAAGUUAAAACAUCAUGUAUAGUAUAGAUAAAGAAAUGUAUUCCAAGAGUUACUGUUGUGAUAAUAAGUAUGUGUUCCUAAAGAAUAGUAUCAGUAUUUCACGAAGGACUUAUAAUAUUGAGGCAGGGAAGUAUGAGGUGGCCUCUGGGAAGACAAAAACUGUUUAUCUCUCAGAGAUAAGAAGAUGUGUAAGCAAGUAUGUGAAGAAGUCUGAUGUAGAUGAAGUUGUUAAUGUGAUUGUUAAGAUUAGAAAGCUACUGAACAGUGAAAAUCUUAAGUGUUGCCCUAGUAUGAGAUUCCAUCUUGUAAGAGUCUGUAGUGCGCUUGGAAUUGAGCCUAAUGAACGAUUACGGGAUCUGUAUCCAUCUAAUAUAAAGGCUAAGCAUGAAUUCCUGUUCUAUGGUGUAAUUGUUCUUACUAUUAGCCUUGAUGUGAGCAACUGCAAAUAUUUCCAUGAGUGGUACAAAGAUCUAAAGCGAAGAGUGAGGGAAUUGGGGGAUAUUUGUAUUGGACCUGAGUGGAUAGAUUGGGGUGAUCGUUGGACGGAGUUCUGGUAUAGGGAAAAUAAUGGGCUGAAUGACGGAUUUGUAAUAUGUGGGAGAGGAAGAUAGUUAAACCUAUGGUAUAGUAAAGAUGGAUGGUUUGAAAAAAUUCGAG